UGCCAGCCGCCGCGGUAAUACAGAGGGUGCGAGCGUUAAUCGGAAUUACUGGGCGUAAAGGGCGCGUAGGUGGCUACGUAAGUCGGAUGUGAAAGCCCCGGGCUUAACCUGGGAAUUGCAUUCGAUACUGCGUGGCUAGAGUAUGGUAGAGGAAAGCGGAAUUCCGGGUGUAGCGGUGAAAUGCGUAGAUAUCCGGAGGAACAUCAGUGGCGAAGGCGGCUUUCUGGACCAAUACCGACACUGAGGCGCGAAAGCGUGGGGAGCAAACAGGAUUAGAUA
rnacentral:rRNA from 1 species